UACAGAGGCCUCGAGCGUUUAGGCGGAAUCACUGGGCUUAAAGCGUGUGUAGGCGGACUUCUAAGUACCUUGUGAAAUCCCACGGCUUACCCGUGGAACUGCUCGGUAUACUGGUUGUCUUGAGCCAUCUAGGGGCUACCGGAACAAAUGGGUGGAGCGGUGAAAUGCGUAGAUAUCAUUUGGAACGCCAAUGGGUGAAAACAGGUAGCUGGGGAUGUGCUGACGCUGAGACACGAAAGCCAGGGGAGCGAACGGG
rnacentral:rRNA from 1 species